CAGCAGCGGCUGUUGCAGGUCAGGAGGGGGGAGGGGAGGAGAAGGCACAUGUGCUUUGCAGCCUUCCCCUCCCCUCCCCCCAGCACUCACCUGGAGGAGACACUGAGGGGGCUUCCGGUCCGGUGGGAGACAGGAAUCUCGGCAGUGGACCUCACUCACCUUAGCAGCUGCUGGGGCUUCGGUCGGUGAGAGUUUGACCCCGUGAUUCCCCCUAGUCAUCCCUGCUGGGGCCCCGUCGAAACUGUUCGAAUUGGGCCCCGCACUUCCUAAAGCCGGCCCUGAUUAGAGGGAUUCCUGGGUUUGCAGUGGAGAGAGAACUGAUCAAGUCUUUUGCAAAAACACCACAGUGAGAUUGUAUCCCAGCUGAGCACAACCUGAAGUUGCACCAUCU